GGGCAUUGGGGACAUUGGGGACAUCAGGGGACAUUGGGGACAUUGGGGACACUGAGGACAUGAGGAGACAUUGGGGACAUCGGGGACAUCGGGGACAUGGGGGAAUCUCAAUUGGGAUUUUUGGGGAUCCCAGUUGGGUUUUUGGGAUCCCAGCUGGGAUUUGGAGAUCUCAGUUGGGUUUUGCAGAUCCCAGUUGGGAUUUUGGGGAUCCCAGUUGGGAUUUGAGGGAUCCCAGUUCAGAUUUGGGGAUCCCAGUUGGGUUUUGGAGGAUCCCAGUUGGGUUGGGAUAAUCCCAAUUGGGGUUUUUGGGGGUACCCAAUCAGGAUUUUGGGGAUUUUGGGGUACCCAGGAAGGCGGAGGGGGACACGGUGCCGUUGCUCCGCGACACCAUCACGCUGAUGCCGGUUGGGAUUGGAUAAUCCCAGCUGGGAUUUUGGGGUCCCUUUGGGGUUUUUGGGGUUCCCAAUCAGGAUUUUGGGGGUUUUGGGGAUUUUGGGGUACCCAGGAAGGCGGAGGGGGACACGGUGCCGUUGCUCCGGGACACCAUCACGCUGAUGCCGGUUGGGUUUGGGUGAUCCCAGCUGGGAUUCCUUUGGGGUUUUUGGGGUGCCCAAUCAGGAUUUGGGGUUUUUGGGGUUCCCAAGCACGAUUUUGGGGGUUUUGGGGAUUUUGGGGUACCCAGGAAGGCGGAGGGGGACACGGUGCCGUUGCUCCUGGACACCAUCACGCUGAUGCUGGUUGGGUUUUUGGGAUCCCCAUUGGGAUUGGAUGAUCCCAGCUGGGAUUUUGGGGUCCCUUUGGGAUUUUUGGGGUUCCCAAUCAGGAUUUUGGGGGUUUUGGGGAUUUUGGGGUACCCAGGAAGGCAGAGGGGGACACGGUGCCGUUGCUCCGCGACACCAUCACGCUGAUGCCGGUUGAGACUGGAUGAUCCUAGUUGGGAUUCCUUUGGGGUUUUUGGGGUCCCCAAUCAGGAUUUGGGGUUUUUGGGGUUCCCAAUCAGGAUUUUGGGGGUUUUGGGGGUUUUGGGGUACCCAGGAA
rnacentral:lncRNA from 1 species